rnacentral:lncRNA from 1 species
GGGGCUUCUUCUCUGGUUGCACAGGGAUUCUUCUCCCUUCUUUGGUCACACAUUUUUGUCUCUUCUCCGAACAACCAUAGGACCCUUUCUUGUCUAAGAAAAAUGUCAAGAUACAACGAGAGGGACAAAUCUAGAGUGACGUGUAAUAUGAAUGACACAAAUGGUGUAGGGGCUUUCUCUAGACCCUACAAAUCCACCCUACACCUACACCCUAGGCAAAUCACGCUAUAUGCCUGAGGCUUUAUCAUUUCCCCACCGAUGUCGUGCCCGAAGCAAUUGUCUUUAGCAGUUAGUUAAAUCAGCUUCGCUCGGGUUAGCGCUCGCACACUCGCCCUUUGGGGAACAUGUCUUUUGCCUAUCCCAAGCGAGUGCCAUCGCCUGGUCAGGCAUGCCA